AAUGUCUUCCAUCUUCAAACUAGGAAGAGUGUGGCUGUUUAUAAUAUUUCUUAUUCAAGCAGAGGAGCCCUGCCGGGCAAAGAGCAGUGAUUUUUGAGAAUUCAAAUGAAUGUGAAAGAAUAUCUACCAAAAUAAUAAUAAUAAUAAAGGCAAUCCGAGUGAAGAAAGGAGAGUUAUGAAGCCCGCUGCAUUGUGAAGAAAUGGAUUUUCAGGGUUAGAAAAUCCUGAGCCAUGUAACUGAGACACCUGAGAAACAUCAUAGUGUGCGUAUUGCACAGACAGUGGAAAAUCACCAGCGUGCUCCUGAGCAGCCCCACACCUCCAGAGCAAGUCCGGGGUUUGCGGCGGGGGGAGCUGGGGGCUGCAAGUUAACCUUGGCUGAAAUUGUAACUGGAUGUUCUGGAGACUCUGCAACAGAAACUGAUUGUAUCUUGUGGAUAGAUAAAAGUGGAUGGACAGAAACAUUUCUCUUCUAGCGAAGUUUUGCCGGGAGAUGUAAUUUACUGCAAAUCAGGGGAGUAACUUUUUCCUCUAAAGAUUAGGCUGUUAUAAGAAAUAUAGAGGUGCUUUUAUAGUAGGAUGACUUUUCAGGGCUGUAACCAUGGAGCAGCACACUCCGAUGCUGAUGCAAUUAACCUCCUCACUGCUGUAAGAAAGCACGUGCACUCCGACAACAAAUUUCGUCUGAAAAUAUUCCCUUUUUCAGGCAUUGCUACUUUGUUUGUCUAUCUCAUUCAUAUGCUGACAUCCAGCUGGAUGAAGCAAAUGCUGUGCACGAGGAGUUCUUAAGUCCUGAUGUGGACACCAGAAUAUUUUUGUACAUCACCUCUUUACGGCCCUCAGUGGAAAGGAAAAGAGACACCAGGGGAGGUACGAUAAAUAAUGCUCACAUCAGUUUGGAGAGGGUGGUAGACACUGCAGGAUUUACCUCAUUUCUGGCAGCUAGACAUUGUUUUAAGACACAAAGUAUGUGGGACAGAGAAGGUGAUGUUCUCACACAUCUUCCUUCAGAGAUUUUCAUUAAAUGUCUGUUAAUUUAUUUGUUAAUCCCUUCAAUGAAGUGCUGUAGUAGAAAGGUUUUCUCUUCAAACCCUUUAAAAUGCCUUUUGAUUAUCUCCACUGAAUUCAGAGCCUCAGACAGUGUUUUUGUUGAUCCAAUUUAAAGAUUAGCUCUGUCUUUUAAAUUCAGUAAAAUUAUAGAUGUGAGAUGGAUACAGACCUGUCUAAAUGUGAACAAAACUUGGUGCAUAGGCUGCACUUCUUUUCAGAUGCAUGUGCUGUGAGGUAGUGUGUAUGCGCAGCCAUAUAUCGACCAGCAGGCAGAUAUGCCCUUUUCAGGCUGUCUCUCAGUGAAUGACAGUGCAUUGUUGCUUACCAAGCUCACUUGCCGGAGUUGCUGUGAAAGGGUCACUGAAAGAAAAAAAAAGAAUUACCCAGACAUUGUUUACUGAUUGCCAGCUGAUACAAUACUGUUCAUUGAAUCCCAGGCUAUUAAAGUCCUGAAGAAACAUUG
ensembl:lncRNA